rnacentral:tRNA from 1 species
GUCCCGGUAGCUCAGUUGGUAGAGCGCGCGACUGUUAAUCGCGUUGUCGUUGGUUCGAGUCCAGCCCGGGACG